rnacentral:lncRNA from 7 species
AUGCUGCGCCUGAUCGUGGGGGUGUGGGUGCGUGGUGCAGUCCGUGGACAUGGAACCGGAUUGUUUUAAAAAAAAGUCUAAAAGCAUCUCCAAGAGAUUAGUUAAAUGACUCAGCAAGCCAAAUUUUGACUACUCAAUAGUAAAAUAAUCUCCAACAGACUAGUCAUUCAACUUGUCAAGCUAUCCGGCUCUUCAAAUUGGCUCUCUAGCCAAAUUUGGCUAGCCGCUGACUAGACAAACUAAAUAAAGAGUCUGUUAGAGUGAGUAUGCUACAUAUAAAAUAUAAUCUUUAUAAAGAAGUAAAUAAAGUGUCAUAUAUAGAGUCAAAAAUAGAGUGUCUCUUAGAGAUGCUCUAAAAGCUAUUUUACCAAAUAUAUUUUAAUGGUUCUGUCUUCUCUAUAAAAACUACUUUGAUCUAAAAGCUAGAGUCAAACCUGUUUUAUAAAAAGUAAAAGUCUACCAAAUAAGAUUUUGUUGUAUCUUAAUUGAAUUUAUGAUUUAGAGUUAAAUAUCAUACAAUCUCUUAACUAUUUCUUUUGUUUAAAAACGGUUAUAUAGAGUCUAAGUUGUGCAUGGCCUAAGUCAUUGUUCCUCUAUCCCAUGGUAUAUUAGAAGAAACUAAAAGAGAUUUUCGGUUAAUAUAAAUUUAAACACACUUAAUCCCGUCUAUUUCAUAUGGAUUGAACUUAAACCAGACAUGUCCUAAUAAAAAUCAAGCUCACAGAGACAGCAGACUCACUAUCAUGUCUUUUCCAUGCAGAGGGAGUGAGGGACGCUACGUUUGUUUUAGACUGUGUCUUGUCUUCACAUAUAUAUAGAAGACAAAUAAACUCUCCACGCAUAUAUACAUGUAUACUAAAUAUGUCGAUAUAUACUAUUGCCUUCGUUCAUAAAUAUAUGACACUGUUGACUUUUAAAAAAACGACCAGUCUAACACAAACUAUCUUAAGUGAUCAAACAAAUCACAAAAAAUGAUAACUCAUUAAUUUUUUGAAUAAGACGAGUGGUAAAUUUUUUUAAAAAAAGACAACGAUGUCAUAUAUUUAUAAACGCAGGGAGUAGAUUAUAAGAGAUAUGUUCGCGCAUUGCACGUAACCUAGUGCACUUUGGAAUUUGUCUCGGUAUCGUUGCUAGGCGUGAAUUGUAGUAUCAUUGUUAGAUGUGAAUUGUUUUAACUUGUUUGCCAUGAGCCCGGAUCACAUACAAGAUAGUCGUAAGAUGGGUCGGGCCCAUAUGAAUCGGUCGUCGAGGACCUCUGUGACGAUGUCGAAGCUCUUAGACAGAGGGGGU